UCGCGAAGAGAACCGGAACACAGGUGCUGCAUGGCUGUCGUCAGCUCGUGUCGUGAGAUGUUGGGUUAAGUCCCGCAACGAGCGCAACCCUUGCCUUUAGUUGCCAGCAGUUCGGCUGGGCACUCUAAAGGGACUGCCGGUGUCGAAACCGGAGGAAGGUGGGGAUGACGUCAAGUCCUCAUGGCCUUUAUGGCCAGGGCUACACACGUACUACAAUGGCCGGUACAAAGGGCAGCGACAUUGCGAGAUGGAGCGAAUCCCGAAAAGCCGGUCUCAGUCCGGAUUGGAGUCUGCAACUCGACUCCAUGAAGUUGGAAUCGCUAGUAAUCGUGGAUCAGCAUGCCACGGUCGAAUACGUUCCCGGGCCUU
rnacentral:rRNA from 1 species